AGAAUCCUUCAGAGCCCCGAGAGCGCUUGUUCCACCUCGGGCGCUGUGGCGGGAGACCGGGUUCCAGGUAUACCCUCGGCGAAGAGAUUUGCACAGUGUGUUGGUGGUAUUUAGGGACGCAGCUCCCUCUGAAACUUGCAGACUGAAACUCGUGAGGAGCUUCGGAGCAAAGGCUUGUGUACGGGCACUGACACUCGGGCCGACCCGCGGGAGGACCCACUUAGUUUCUGUUCUUUUGCCCCCUGGUUUUUUGUGGGGUUUGUUGUUAUUUUGUUGCAGCCUCGGCGUGUGGAAGUUGUUCCGGGCUAGGGAUGAAACCCAAACCAUAACUGCAGCGACCCAAGCCGCUGCCCACUCCCCGCCCCUUGGUUCUUAAAGGGUCAUUAAACGAUGAAAUCAGAUAAGGACUUAGACUGAGUGUUGCUCGAAGCUCGGGUGAUCCUCAGGAAAGGAAGCAAGAGAAGUUAACGAUUCGCCCACCUUCACCCAUCCACGCCUUGCCAAUGUCAAGACAAAACCUGGGGAAAGGGAAAGGAAGAAUGACGGGCUUUUUGGAGAUGUUGCUGACCAGCCUUUGCAGGGCGAAUAGGAUUUGAAUCAGAAGAGAUGAGGGCGGGCAAGAGACAAAGAGAUGAGAAAAGGGUGGCAAACGAUAAUGUGCAGGGGAAUGGAGAUGAGCAUCCAGGUGCCUGGGGUUCCCUCUGCCUGGCCUUGCCUCGGCGGACUUGCCUCUUCUAGUUAUGCCCCAGCUGAUGGACGCUCCAGAGAUGGCUUCCUCCCUCCCUCCUGCUCCAAGGGCAGGUUGACUGAAAAAACUGAAUUCGCUUUCCACAGAGGGAAUAGAAAAAUAAGUCUGUGUGAACUGCAGAAAUAGCAAUGCACACACCCACCAGAAUGCCUAAAAUGAAAAUGAGGGGAAAUGCCAGGUGAUGCUCUGGGACUCUCCCACGUGGCUUAAAGGAUUGUGGGUUGGUGCAGCCACUUUCAGACAGUAUCUCCUCAGACCAAGCAUACACACCUUACCCGUGACCAACUGUUCUUCCCCAGGAGUGUACAGGAGUAGUCAGGCUCAGCAGAAGGAAGCCGCCUUUCCUAGAAUUGUGAAAGUCCGUAUUCUCCUCCUGUUCCAGUUUAUGGUUCUGGAGAAGUACGCACAAUUUAGCAUAAGCAGAGCAGGUACAGAGGGAUCUUCUGCAAUAUUAAACAAUUUGCAUUUUUUAAACUUUAAUUUCAAGAUUUGAUAUUUGUUAAUCAUAAUUUUUAUUUGCCUUUAAAGGUAAUUGUUUUUAAAAGUAUUGAAGUAUAGCUGAUAUACAAUAUUAUAUGUUACCGGUAUUCAAGAUAGUCACCAUUUUUGGAGGUUAUGCUCCAUUUAUAGUUAUAAAAUACCAGCUAUAUUCCCUGUGUUGUACAGUAUAUCCCUGUAGCUUAUUCUGUAUGUAAUAGUUGGUACCUCUUAAUUCCCCUCCCUCUUCCCUCUCCCCUUGGUAACCUCGGGUUUGUUCUUUAUAUUUGUGAGUCUGUUUCUUUUUUUGUUAUAUUCACUAGUUUGCUUUAUUUUUGGGGAUUCCACAUAUAAGUGAUAUCAUACAGUAUCUGUCAUUGUCGACUUACUUCACUUACCACAGUACCCUGUUGCUACAAGUGGCAUGCAUAUUGCUGCAAGUGGCAAAUUUUCAUUAUUUUUUAUGGAUGAGUUUUGUUCCCGUGUAUAUACGGUUCCAUUUUCUCCACAUCCUUGCCAACAUUUGUUAUUUGUAUUCUUCUUGAUGAUAGCCAUGCUGACAGGUGUGAGGUGAUAUUAGCAGUGUUAAGCAUCUUUUCAUGUGCCUGUUGGUUAUCUGCAUUUCCUCUUUGGAAAAAUGCCUGUUCAGUUCUCGUGCCCAUUUUUUUACUGAGUUGUUUGGUUUUGUGAUGUUGACUUGUAUGAGCUGUUUAUAUAUGUUGGAUAUUAACCUCUUAUCAGUCAUAUCAUUUGCAAAUAUUUUCUCCCAUUCAGUAGUUUUUGUUUUGUCAGUAGUUUCCUUUGUUGUGCAAAAGCUUUUCAUUUUAAUUGGGUCCCAUGUGUUCAUUUUUUGCUUUUAUUUCCUUUGCUUUAGGAGACAGAUCCCAAAAAAUAUUGCCCCGAAGUAUGUCAGAGACUGUUCUGCUUAUGUUUUCCUCUAAGAGUUUUAUGGUUUCUGGUCUUACAUUUUAUACGUUUUGAUUUUAUUUUUGUAUGUCAUGUGAGGGAGUGUCCUAGUUUCAUUUUUUUUAAAUGUAAUUAUCCACUUUUCCCAGAAACACCUAUUGAAGAGACUUUCUUUUCUCCAUUGUAUAUUCUUGCCUCCUUUGUCAUAGAUUGAUUGACCAUAAGCAUGUGAGUUUAUUUCUGGGCUCUCUGUUCGGUUCCAUUGAUCUAUGUGUCUGUUUUUGUGCCAGUUCCAUGCUGUUUUGAUCACUGUAGCUUUAUUUUUUUAAUUUUAUUGACGUAUAAGCUGAUCGACAAUGUGUUAAUUUUUACUGUACAGCACAGUGAUUCAGUUACAUAUUCUUUUGUAUUAUGUUUUAUCAUAGGAUAUUGAGAGAAAUGUUGUUAAUUUCCAAAUAUUUGGGGCUGUUAAAUCUAUGCUAUUAUUUUUAUUACUGCUUUCUAGUUUAAUUCUCAUAUUGUCUGGAGCAAACUUUUGAAAUGUAUUGACCUCAAUCAGUUUUAUGACCCAACAUGUGGCAUACCUAGGUGACGGUUCCAUGACUUUAAAGGAAUGUGCAUCAUGAAGUUGUUGUAUGUAGUGUUUUAUAAAUGUCAGCUGGACAGGGUGGUUCAUGGUGCUGUUCAGAUCUAGAUCAUUAAUUUUUUUCAUCUAGUGCUUUUAUCAGUAACGGAGAGGACGUUAAAAUCUCUGUGCGAAUUUGUCCAUUUCUCCAUUGAGUUCUGUCCUGUUUGCUUCCUGUAUUUUGAAUUUAUUUGGCUUAUACAAUUUAUAAUCGUUAUGCCUUCUUGCUUAAUGACAUUUUUGUUAUUAUGAAAUGCUCAUCUCUAAAUAUAGCUCUUAUCUUUAA
rnacentral:lncRNA from 1 species